rnacentral:tRNA from 1 species
GGACCCAUAGCUCAGCGGUAGAGCAUCUGAUUCCAGCUUGCAAGUUCAUCAACUGCCUCCAGAAGGUCAUCCGUUCAAAUCGGGUUGGGUUCA